GUGCGAUUGACGCUGAGGCUCGAAAGUGCGGGUAUCAAACAGGAUUAGAUACCCUGGUAGUCCGCACGGUAAACGAUGGAUGCCCGCUGUUUGCGAUAUACUGUGAGCGGCCAAGAGAAAUCGUUAAGCAUCCCACCUGGGGAGUACGCCGGCAACGGUGAAACUCAAAGGAAUUGACGGGGGCCCGCACAAGCGGAGGAACAUGUGGUUUAAUUCGAUGAUACGCGAGGAACCUUACCCGGGCUUGAACUGCAGGAGAACGAUACAGAGAUGUUGAGGUCCUUCGGGACUCCUGUGGAGGUGCUGCAUGGUUGUCGUCAGCUCGUGCCGUGAGGUGUCGGCUUAAGUGCCAUAACGAGCGCAACCCUUUUCGUCAGUUGCCAUCAGGUGAUGCUGGGCACUCUGGCGAUACUGCCACCGUAAGGUGUGAGGAAGGUGGGGAUGACGUCAAAUCAGCACGGCCCUUACGUCCGGGGCUACACACGUGUUACAAUGGGGAGUACAGAGAGUCAACCGCCGGCAACGUCGGUUUAAUCAAGAAAGCUCUCCUCAGUUCGGAUUGGGGUCUGCAACCCGACCCCAUGAAGCUGGAUUCGCUAG
rnacentral:rRNA from 1 species